GCAGACAAAUUACAGCCAAUCAGCAGCAGACCCUCCCUCCCAGGCCCUCCCACCUCCUGGACAGCAUCCAUUUUGAAGCUGCAUUCUUAGUGAGCUGUCCAGGAGGUGGGAGGGUCUGGGAGGGAGGGUCUGCUGCUGAUUGGCUGGAAUGUGUCU